AACGAACGCUGGCGGCAUGCCUAACACAUGCAAGUCGAACGAGAUCUUCGGGUCUAGUGGCGCACGGGUGCGUAACGCGUGGGAAUCUGCCCUUUGGUUCGGAAUAACAGUUGGAAACGACUGCUAAUACCGGAUGAUGACGAAAGUCCAAAGAUUUAUCGCCAGAGGAUGAGCCCGCGUAGGAUUAGCUAGUUGGUGUGGUAAAGGCGCACCAAGGCGACGAUCCUUAGCUGGUCUGAGAGGAUGAUCAGCCACACUGGGACUGAGACACGGCCCAGACUCCUACGGGAGGCAGCAGUGGGGAAUAGUGGACAAUGGGCGAAAGCCUGAUCCAGCAAUGCCGCGUGAGUGAUGAAGGCCUUAGGGUUGUAAAGCUCUUUUACCCGGGAUGAUAAUGACAGUACCGGGAGAAUAAGCUCCGGCUAACUCCGUGCCAGCAGCCGCCGGUAA
rnacentral:rRNA from 1 species